CGGGGCUUCAGGGAAUCCGAAGAGAGUACGCGCGACCGCAGAGCGUGGGAACAGGGAGAUGCGCAGAGCCUCUGGGGACCAGCUUCCUACCCAAAGGGAAGGAAGAGCAAGAAAUGACUGAGGCCCAGCUGAGUUAGAGCUUAUGUAUUCAUUUACUCCCUAUUUUAUUUUCCACUGGAUACUUGGAACCUGCAAAAGGGGAAAUGGAGUCAUUUACAUGAUUUGUAUCGUCCACGAGGAAAACAUGCCAGUUCAUCAGCAGAAGGAAAUAUUUCAUGCCAUUCUCCAGGAAACAAUAAAAUUAGAACUCUCCCUUACUUCCUACACUAAAAUAAAUGCCAGGUGGAUUAAAGAUUUAAAUAUAAAAAUGGAACCAUCAGUGCGUGAGAAGAAAAAAAUGGGAAAGUACUUAUUAUCUUAGACUGAAAUCCUUUGUAGUGAUGCCAUAAAAUUCUGAAGUCGUGAAAGUAUCAAUACACUGUGUUCAUAAAAUUACUGGAUGCUCAAUUAACCUUAAAAACCUUAAAGCCAAACGGCAAGUUGCAAAGAAAAAUUUGCAACAGAUGCAAUCAAUAACGUGCUCCUGCAAAUCAAUAUAAAAGCCCAGCAGUUUAAAAGAAACAGGACAGAGACAAUUCAUAGAUAUGCAGAUCACUUCUAAAUAUGUGACAAUAUGUUCAUCCUCGGUCAUAGUGAAAUGCCAAAGAAAACCUGUGAAAUGCUGUUUUUCAUGUAUCAAGUUGGAAAAGACCAGAAGGAUAUGUAAUACACUGUUGGUGUCACAGGAAGAAGAUACUGACAUGGAAUUAGAAGUGCAGGUGUAUUGGGCACCUGUGAAAGCAAAGUGGGGAAGCAGGAUUGAGCAGUGGGAGCUUCAGACCAUGAUGUCAACCUGACAGACUUGCCGCUAGCCCAACAUAGAGCUCCAGAGCAAAGAUUCACUGUUAGAGGAGUCCCACCUCGCCCUUUGAGCCCCCUCAUUGCUCAGUCAUAGGCUGGAGACAGCCCUGAGAAUAGCAGGCCCUUAGUGCUAAAGCUGAGAUGAAGCCCAGCAGAGCUAACUGGAGUCUCUCCAGUAACCACACUUCUUACAGCCGGGCAAUGAGUCCUUUCUAGAAGAGGAAUCUGAGAGGCUCAUCUCCAUUUGGCUGGAGUUGACAGGUAUGAGGGGAAGCCAAUACUGGGGAGAAAAUACAGAAGUAUCUUUUUUAAUCGUAGUUUUUAAUUUUUAUGUAUUUAUUAUUUUAAGUAGGCUCCAUGCCCAGCUUGGAGCCCAUGGCGGGACUUGAACUCACGAUCCUGAGAUCAAGACCUGGGCUGAAAUCAAGAGUAGGAUGCUUAACCGACUGAGCCACCCAGGUGCCCCUAAAAAUAAUGAACGUUUGAUUUUAUAAAGUAAAAUAUUUCGGAUUACUGCCAAACCACCUUUGAAAACAAAUUUGUUUAUGGAUGAUACGAAAGGAUUAUUUAGAAUCACAGGCAUAUAGUGCAAUGGUGAUUGUGUAUAAUAUAUAGUAGAAAUAUAUGCUUUCUGAACUAUUAUUAAUUAGUCUGCUGAAUUUAUGCUAAUCAGACUAAAUUAUGACUAUCUUUAUAACUUGAUUCUAAUAGAUAAUGGGCAUAAUUUAGUCAGAUACUAUAUAGAAUGUUAGUAAUGAAGCCAUAUAUUUAAUGUAUGGAAUUAAAUAUUCUAACCAAUCCUCUGUGGUCUUUUUUCUGUAAAAGGAUGAGAGAAUAAAUAUUUUAGGCUUUGUAAACCAUUAAAAGACAUCAAGUAAUGGAAUGGAUAAAAAAAGCAAGACCCAUCAUUUCAGACCAAAGACAUCUGCACAUGGGAAGUGAGGGGAUGGAGAAACAUCGCUCAUGCAAAUGGAUGUCAAAAAAAGCAGGGGAUGCAUCUGGGUGGCUCAGUCAGUUAAACAUCUGCCUUCAGUUCAGGGUCCUGGGAUUGAGCCCCACACUGGGCUCCCUUCUUCCUCCUCUGUUUCUCCCCAUGCUCAUGUUCUCUCUUUCUCUCCCUCCCUCCUCUCUCAAGUAAAUAAAUAAAAUCCUUAUUUUUUAUUAUUUUUAAAUUUAUUUUUAUUAUGUUAU